ensembl:snRNA U6 U6 spliceosomal RNA
GUGCUUGCUACGGCUGCACAUAUACUAAACUUGGAUCGAUACAGAGAAGAUUAGCAUGCCCCC